AGUGAACGCUGGCGGUAGGCCUAACACAUGCAAGUCGAACGGCAGCACAGUAAGUGCUUGCUCUUACUGGUGUCGAGUGGCGUACGGGUGAGGAAUACAUCGUAAUCUACUUUUUCGUGUGGGUUAACGUAGGUAAACUUACGCUAAUACCGCAUACUACCUACGUGUGAAAGCAGUUGUUCUUCUGACCUUUCGCGUUUGUAUUAGCCGAUGUCGGAUUUGCUUGUUGGCGGGGUAAAGGCCCACCAAGGCGACGAUCCGUAGCUGGUCUGAGAGGAUGAGCAGAGACACUGGAACUGAGAAACGGACAAGAAAACGACGGGAGGGAGCAGAGGGGAAGAUUGGAAAAAGGGCGAAAGGAUGAUACAGCAAUACCGAGUGGGUGAAGAAGGAGUUAGGGUUGUAAAGACAUUUUGUUGGGAAAGAAAAGAAGCAGGAUAAAAAAACGAUGUAGUGACGGUAACAAAAGAAAAAGCAACGGCUAACUUCGUG
rnacentral:rRNA from 1 species